CUACUGAAGAGGAAAUUUCAAAACUGUCUUCAAAGGCAAGAGAAGGGCGUCGCUGUUGAGGCGCAGGUCUCACAGGGAGACGCCAUUCCAACGGAACCAUUCUAAGCCCUCAGGAGAGAGGAGAGGGCACCAGGGAGUCAAUUCAGCUCAUUGCCCAGAUUCUGGUCUGCUGGGAUUGUGACGGCCUCUGAGAGAACGCUGAGAUGGCACCCAGAGGAGUCUGGAGCUCCAAGUUCCCCUAACCCCAGUGUUCUGCCACCACCCUUCCUCUUCCACUGCAGCCUGCAGCACAGACUGGCUACCUUGUUGGUCUGCUCUGGAGGAAAGGUAAAGAGGGAUAGGGAUAGGACAGAUUUGCUGGUGUCACUAUUGUUGUGGUGUUGGGUAGAGUGUGUGAGUGUAUGUGUUGUGAGGCUGUGUAGUAUUGUGUAUGUUGGAGUGUUCUGUGAUGUUGUGAAUCUGUGUAGUGUUGGGUGUGUGCAUAUGCCAUAGUGCUGUGUAGUCUUAUGUGUGUGUGGGGUGCUGUUGGGUUGUGUUGGAGGUAUUGUGUGUGACAGAAGGAGAGCAAGCCUCUCUUGUGCUUGGCUGGCCACUCCUUGGCUGGGGACUUCAUUCCUCCUGCCAAAGCCCUAACCCAUGCUGCUCCCCACCUGUGACAGCCAUCCUAGGCAGAAGGAGAGGGAGCAGCUGGCCCUCUGCUCUUCCAAUUUGACCUUGAUGUGGGGCUGGGACAGGCUACCAGGCUCAGUGCCAGGAAGCAAGACAAGGGGCUUGAAGUGAGGGCUUCUGACAAGAGCAUCUUG
ensembl:lncRNA